rnacentral:tRNA from 1 species
UCCCUGCUGGCUCAGAGGGUAAAGCGUCUGCCUGUAAUACAGGAGACUCUGGGUUCAAUCCCUGGGUUGGGAA